GCAAUGCCGCGUGAGUGAAGAAGGCCUUCGGGUUGUAAAGCUCUUUUGUCAGGGAAGAAACGGUGCGGGCUAAUAUCCUGCACUAAUGACGGUACCUGAAGAAUAAGCACCGGCUAACUACGUGCCAGCAGCCGCGGUAAUACGUAGGGUGCAAGCGUUAAUCGGAAUUACUGGGCGUAAAGCGUGCGCAGGCGGUUUUGUAAGUCUGAUGUGAAAUCCCCGGGCUCAACCUGGGAAUUGCAUUGGAGACUGCAAGGCUAGAAUCUGGCAGAGGGGGGUAGAAUUCCACGUGUAGCAGUGAAAUGCGUAGAGAUGUGGAGGAACACCGAUGGCGAAGGCAGCCCCCUGGGUCAAGAUUGACGCUCAUGCACGAAAGCGUGGGGAGCAAACAGGAUUAGAUACCCUGGUAGUCCACGCCCUAAACGAUGUCUACUAGUUGUCGGGUUUUAAUUAACUUGGUAACGCAGCUAACGCGUGAAG
rnacentral:rRNA from 1 species